rnacentral:rRNA from 1 species
GACGAACGCUGGCGGCGUGCUUAACACAUGCAAGUCGAACGGUGAAGGGACCAGCUUGCUGGUUCUGGAUGAGUGGCGAACGGGUGAGUAACACGUGAGUAACCUGCCCCCUUCUUCUGGAUAACCGCAUGAAAGUGUUGCUAAUACGGGAUAUUCUGGGUCUGUCGCAUGGCGGGCCCGGGAAAGAUAUUGCUUCGGUGGGGGAUGGGCUCGCGGCCUAUCAGCUUGUUGGUGGGGUGAUGGCCUACCAAGGCGGUGACGGGUAGCCGGCCUGAGAGGGUGGACGGUCACACUGGGACCGAGACACGGCCCAGACUCCUACGGGAGGCAGCAGUGGGGAAUAUUGCACAAUGGGCGCAAGCCUGAUGCAGCGACGCCGCGUGAGGGAGGGAGGCCUUCGGGUUGUAAACCUCUUUCGCCAGUGAAGCAGGCCUGCUCCUUGUGGGUGGGUUGACGGUAGCUGGAGAAGAAGCGCCGGCUAACUACGUG